AUAUAUAUAUAUUUAACAUAUAUUUAACAAACAAAAAUGAUCUUCUGCCUAAAUGGUAAAUCUGCCAUUGUGCACAUGCCUGGUGUUCCAGAUCUAAAUCAGUCCCUGAUUAGAGGUGAACAAUAUAAAAACACAGUGGAACUGGCUUCGAAGACCAGAGUGGAGUUUGAGGGCACUAGAGUCUGUAAAAUCUACACUGAACAAAAAUAUAAAUGCAACAUGCAACAAUUUCAAAGAUUUUACUGAGUUACAGUUCAUAUAAGGAAAUCAGUCAAUUGAAAUAAAUUCAUUAAGCCCGCAUCUAUGGAUUUUACAUGACUGGGAAUACAGCUAUGUAUCUGUUGGUCAGAGAUACCCUUAAAAAAAUGGUAGGGAAAAUUAAAAAUUAAAGGAAUGGGGGGGAUAGGAGGGACGCCAUGUGCGACUGACGUGUUUUCCGUUUGCUCCCGUGGUAUUCUUAAAGUUUAUGUGAAUUUUGCAGCAGAACCGUAUUUAUUUUCAAAUAUUAAUUUGGUGAUCCCUUUCCGUAAAAACCAAGACUAGUUUGCUUCCGAAUGUCAGCAUGUCGACCAAACAUAAGGCCAAAAGCAUGACUUUGAGAAAACCCGGCCUACAAGACCCGCUCUCAUCACCGCCCUCUCCUGAGUCUGAGGGCCCGGGGACGCACACUUUACCCGGGGGUGCGGCUUGGCCUGGCGGCGCUGAAAUGAACAUUCCCGAGGCCGUCAAAGCUCUGAGAUAGUUGAAAUGAAAACACAGGUGGUUUCUACGAUUGAUGCCAGAAUACAGAAGGUUUCUGAUAUUUUAAAAGCAGAUUUAACCAUCCUGCGGAACGAGACUGUGCCAGCAAUCACAUUACUCAAAACAACAACUGCGUCACACACUACAACGAUUGCAGCACUGGAGACCUUCGCUACUAAUGUCUCCGAUUUAACUACAUCCCUGGAGAUUGAAAUUAAACGCCUAGAUGCGGAUUUGAAAAAGGUGAAGGAGAGCUGUGUGAGUUUAGAGGGAUUCUCUCGCCGCAAUAAUCUGAGACUUGUAUCGGUCCCAGAGUCAGCGGAAAUGCAUCGAGCCACGGAUUUCGUUUCAGGGCUGCUGAAGGAUGUUCUUGCCUUAGAUGAAAAGCCCCUGAUUGAUUGAGCCCACCCGUCGCUGCGCCCAAAGCCCCGGGAUGGGGAGAGGCCCCGUGACAUAAUUCUUCGAGUGCACUUUUUUCAUGAGAAUAUGGAGAUCCGACGACGAGCCCGCAAUACCACUCUGAGCUUUCAAGGACAGAGCUUCUCCAUCUACCAAGACCACUCCCCCACUGUUUCCUGGCAGCGCGCAGCUUUCGGAGAACCUCCCCCCCCAACAAUUUACACAAAAUACUUUUCAUGUCAAUUCUGACAUUGGUAAAAAUAAUCAUAAUUAAAAAAAAUGGUAAUAUAUCUUGAUUACAUAAGUAUUCAACCCCCCUGAGUCAAUACAUAUUAGAAUCACCUUUGGCAGCGAUUACAGCUGUGAGUCUUUCUGGGACUACCUCGCAUGACUCCUUGCUCACCCGUCCACCUGGCCGUGAUGCUGCUCCAGUUUCAACUGUUUUGCCUGCGGCUAUGGAAUCCUGACCUGUUCACCGGACGUGCUACCUGUCCCAGACCUAUUAUUUGACCAUGCUGGUCAUUUAUGAACAUUUGAACAUCUUGGCCAUGUUCUGUUAUAAUCUCCACCCGAUACAGCCAGAAGAGGACUGACCACCCCUCAUAGCCUUUUUCCUCUCUAGGUUUCUUCCUAGGUUUUGGCCUUUCUAGGGAGUUUUUCCUAGCCAACGUUCUUCAACACCUGCAUUGCUUGCUGUUUGGGGUUUCUGUACAGCACUUUGAGAUAUCAGCUGAUGUACGAAGGGCUAUUUAAAUUAAUUUGAUUUGAUUGUCAUAGGCUACCUGGCUAAAAUGUUUGCUUGCUAGCCUAACUUCCUUUCAUGGGCAACGUUAGCUGGUUAACAUUAGCCUUCUACAUCUAGCUAUUGAACUCCCCUCCUCUCAAUCCAUGAGCACAAUCUAUGAAUUUAUGAUUGGAUCAGAAUCACCUUUAUAAUCAUUGGCCUGUAUGGAGAAUAAAGUCCAAAUUUUAUCUAGCCACCGGAGGACAACAAAACGAGAUGCCACAAUUCAAGUUGUUUCUGUCAAUGAGUUAUUUAUCUUGAAGCGAUGUGAUGGGAGUGAAGUCAAAUUCAAGCUGGCUUACCUUGACACUUUUUUGGUGCGCCAGUACCAUUAACAGUUGAGCUCAGUCAGUUUAGCUCAACUCUGAUUGGCAAAGUGACUAUUCUACUGGAUGUCAUAAGGUGAAUGCACCAAUUUGUAAGUCGCUCUGGAUAAGAGCGUCUGCUAAAUGACUUAAAUGUAAAUGCAAAAUAAUUAUUUUGUUAAUUUUUUGGCGAAGCCAGUACCCCAUUUUUUUUUAUUUUACCUUUAUUUAAAUAGGCAAGUCAGUUAAGAACAAAUUCUUAUUUUCAAUGACGGCCUAGGAACAGUGGGUUAACUGCCUGUUCAGGGGCAGAACGUCAGCUCGGGGAUUUGAACUUGAGCUCUAACCACUAGGCUACCCUGCCCCCGACAAAGUAAUGACAAAGUAAAAACAGCUUUUAGAAAUGUAUGCAAAUUUAUUGAAAAAUGAGUCAAUACUUUGUAGAAGCACCUUCGGAAGCAAUUACAGCUGUCUUUGCGGGUAAGUCUCUAAGAGCUUUCCACACCUGGAUUGUGCAACAUUUGCCCAUUAUUCUUUUCAAAAUGAUUCAAGCUCUGUCAAAUUGGUUGUUGAUCAUUGCUAGAUAACCAUUUUCAGGCCUUGCCCUAGAUUUUCAAGCAGAUUUACGUCAAAACUGUAGCUUGGGCUUGUGUUUUAGAUUAUUGUUCUGCUGAAAGGUAAAUUAAUCUUCUAAUGUUUAGUGGAAAGCAGACUGAACCAGUCCUUAACGAUUACAAGCAUACCCAUAACAUGACAGACACCACCAUGCUUGAAAAUAUGGAGUGGUACUCAGUAAUAUGUUGUAUUGGAUUUGCCCCAAACAUAACAUUUUUGUAUUCAGGCCAAAAAGUGAAUUGCUUUGAUACAUUUUUUGCAGUAUUACAUUAGUGCCUUGUUGCAAACAGGAUGCAUGUUUUGGAACCAUGCUCAAAGGGAUAUUCAAUGUCUGCUUUUCCUUUGCAAACCUCCCUGGUCUUUCUGGUUGAAAUGUACUGCUCGAAUGAGAGACCUUACAGAGAUGAGGUGACGAUACAAAAUUAAAUACAUGUGAAACACUA